CCCGCACAAGCGGUGGAGCAUGUGGUUUAAUUCGACGCAACGCGAAGAACCUUACCAGGACUUGACAUCCCCUGACGAUGCAAGAGAUUGCAUUUUCCGACUUCGGUUGGACAGGGAGACAGGUGGUGCAUGGUUGUCGUCAGCUCGUGUCGUGAGAUGUUGGGUUAAGUCCCGCAACGAGCGCAACCCUAUUUUAGUUGCCAGCGAGUAAUGUCGGGCACUCUAGAGAGACUGCCGGUGACAAACCGGAGGAAGGUGGGAUGACGUCAAAUCAUCAUGCCCUUUAUGUCCUGGGCUACACACGUACUACAAUGGCCUGUACAAAGGGUCGCGAAGCCGCGAGGUGGAGCCAAUCCCAAAAAGCAGGUCUCAGUUCGGAUUGCAGGCUGCAACUCGCCUGCAUGAAGUCGGAAUCGCUAGUAAUCGCGGAUCAGCAUGCCGCGGUGAAUACGUUCCCGGGCCUU
rnacentral:rRNA from 1 species